ACCAAAGGUAAAGAGGUACACAGAACUGCUGCUCACUACAAGCAGGCCAAUUGUUCCUAGAGAUGGUGUUUGAAGUGAGCAAGCAAACAACGCAUCCACGCAGCGCGGCUGACACAGAAGAGCGUACAUCAUCUGCCGACUGCUCAGAAUUGCCAAAAUGGCACUACGCUGAUUUGGAGAGACACAGAGGAGAGGAAUUGUUGAAGGGAAGUGAUGUACACAUCUUUCAGGGCUGGUUUUGUGCGUAUGCAACAGUUAUAAAUGAGGCCCCAGGAACCAAGAUAUGGGAGAACCAGGAUACAAGGCUUAUAAUUGCAGUAAAAAAACAUACAAGACUUAGCAAAGAAUGGCAGUGA
ensembl:lncRNA